CGCAUUGAGUCUAGUUGAUUUAUACAUUUGAUCCCUUUUUCGUUUAAUUUUUUUGUUGAUUUCUAGGAAAAUGGUUAGUGUUUGUUAAUUUCUGAUUGGGAAUUUUUUCUUCUAGGAUAAUGAUUGAUACUGAUUAUUUGAUUUUUUAUUGUAAAGGAUGAGCUUCUAAAUAAUAUUUAAAUGGUGAUUAUUUGGUUUUAAUUGUUGUUAAUGGGUUUUUUUCUAAUGAAAAAUAUUUGUAAAGGAGAUUUUUACUAUAAUUGAUUCAACUUUUGCAGUCUGUAGAUUAUGGUGUCGUAGGCUCUGGGAAUACAACAAUGUAGGGGUAAAUUUUCUUAUCUUAGUUCAGUUUUCUUGUGAAUUCUAUGGCAUAGUCAGCUUAUCAUGUUGGAAUUUCAUUUGAAAAUUGUGUUGUGAAUUCAACGUUACUUUGCACAAUCACAUCGGAUGGACUUGUAUUUGAUUGCAUUGAUGAGAGGAUACAAUAUAGUCGUAAUAUACUACCUUUUUUUAUUG